rnacentral:rRNA from 1 species
CAGUAGCCGCGGGAAAACGUAGGUGGCAAGCGUUGUCCGGAAUUAUUGGGCGUAAAGGGCUCGCAGGCGGUUUCUUAAGUCUGAUGUGAAAGCCCCCGGCUCAACCGGGGAGGGUCAUUGGAAACUGGGAAACUUGAGUGCAGAAGGGGAGAGUGGAAUUCCACGUGUAGCGGUGAAAUGCGUAGAGAUGUGGAGGAACACCAGUGGCGAAGGCGACUCUCUGGUCUGUAACUGACGCUGAGGAGCGAAAGCGUGGGGAGCGAACAGGAUUAGAUACCCCUGUAGUCCCUGUCUCUUAUAC